rnacentral:rRNA from 1 species
AAAGGAAUAGACGGGGGCCCGCACAAGCGGUGGAGCAUGUGGUUUAAUUCGAUGAUACGCGAGGAACCUUACCAGGGCUUAAAUGUAGUCUGACAGGCCUAGAGAUAGGUCCUUCCUCGGACAGAUUACAAGGUGCUGCAUGGUUGUCGUCAGCUCGUGCCGUGAGGUGUCAGGUUAAGUCCUAUAACGAGCGCAACCCCUGCCGUUAGUUGCCAGCAUGUGAUGAUGGGGACUCUAACGGGACUGCCGGUGCAAACCGCGAGGAAGGUGGGGAUGACGUCAAAUCAUCACGGCCCUUACGUCCUGGGCCACACACGUGCUACAAUGGCCGGUACAGAGAGCAGCCACCCCGCAAGGGGGCGCGAAUCUUCAAAACCGGUCACAGUUCGGAUCGGGGUCUGCAACUCGACCCCGUGAAGCUGGAAUCGCUAGUAAUCGGAUAUCAGCCAUGAUCCGGUGAAUACGUUCCCGGGCCUUGUACACACCGCCCGU